rnacentral:rRNA from 1 species
AGAGUUUGAUCCUGGCUCAGGACGAACGCUGGCGGCGCGCCUAACACAUGCAAGUCGAACGAGAGAUAAGGAGCUUGCUCUUUAAAUCGAGUGGCGAACGGGUGAGUAACGCGUGAGGAACCUGCCUCAAAGAGGGGGACAACAGUUGGAAACGACUGCUAAUACCGCAUAAGCCCACGGCUCGGCAUCGAGCAGAGGGAAAAGGAGCAAUCCGCUUUGAGAUGGCCUCGCGUCCGAUUAGCUAGUUGGUGAGGUAACGGCCCACCAAGGCGACGAUCGGUAGCCGGACUGAGAGGUUGAACGGCCACAUUGGGACUGAGACACGGCCCAGACUCCUACGGGAGGCAGCAGUGGGGAAUAUUGCACAAUGGGGGAAACCCUGAUGCAGCGACGCCGCGUGGAGGAAGAAGGUCUUCGGAUUGUAAACUCCUGUUGUUGAGGAAGAUAAUGACGGUACUCAACAAGGAAGUGACGGCUAACUACGUGCCAGCAGCCGCGGU